GAUGAAGAACGCAGCGAAAUGCGAUACGUAGUGUGAAUUGCAGAAUUCAGUGAAUCAUCGAAUCUUUGAACGCACAUUGCACCUCUCGGUAUUCCGGGAGGUAUGCCUGUUCGAGCGUCAUUUGUACCCUCAAGCUCUGCUUGGUGUUGGGUGUUUGUUCCGCCUCUGUGUGUGAACUCGCCUCAAAACAAUUGGCAGCCGGCCUACUUGUUUCGGAGCGCAGCACAUUUUGCGAUCCAGAUCAACGUACAGCGGCAUCCAAGAAGCCUUAUUUAACGCUCUUGACCUCGGAUCAGGUAGGGAUACCCGCUGAACUUAAGCAUAUCAAUAAGCGGAGGA
rnacentral:misc_RNA from 1 species